GUCCCCGUAGCUCAACUGGAUAGAGCGACUCUCUUCUAAGGAGUAGGUUGUGUGUUCGACUCACACCGGGGACA
rnacentral:tRNA from 1 species